UCGCACGGUCAGUCAACGAGGUAGCCUGGCGGCGAGUGGCGAACGGGUGAGUAAUAUAUCGGAACGUACCCAGAAGUGGGGGAUAACGUAGCGAAAGUUACGCUAAUACCGCAUACGAUCUACGGAUGAAAGUGGGGGACCUUCGGGCCUCAUGCUUUUGGAGCGGCCGAUAUCUGAUUAGCUAGUUGGUAGGGUAAAGGCCUACCAAGGCGACGAUCAGUAGCUGGUCUGAGAGGACGACCAGCCACACUGGAACUGAGACACGGUCCAGACUCCUACGGGAGGCAGCAGUGGGGAAUUUUGGACAAUGGGCGCAAGCCUGAUCCAGCAAUGCCGCGUGAGUGAAGAAGGCCUUCGGGUUGUAAAGCUCUUUUGUCAGGGAAGAAACGGCUGAGGCUAAUAUCCUCGGCUAAUGACGGUACCUGAAGAAUAAGCACCGGCUAACUACGUGCCAGCAGCCGCGGUAAUACGUAGGGUGCAAGCGUUAAUCGGAAUUACUGGGCGUAAAGCGUGCGCAGGCGGUUUUGUAAGUCUGUCGUGAAAGCCCCGGGCUCAACCUGGGAAUUGCGAUGGAGACUGCAAGGCUUGAAUCUGGCAGAGGGGGGUAGAAUUCCACGUGUAGCAGUGAAAUGCGUAGAGAUGUGGAGGAACACCGAUGGCGAAGGCAGCCCCCUGGGUCAAGAUUGACGCUCAUGCACGAAAGCGUGGGGAGCAAACAGGAUUAGAUACCCUGGUAGUCCACGCCCUAAACGAUGUCUACUAGUUGUCGGGUUUUAAUUAACUUGGUAACGCAGCUAACGCGUGAAGUAGACCGCCUGGGGAGUACGGUCGCAAGAUUAUAACUCCCAGG
rnacentral:rRNA from 1 species